AUUGAACGCUGGCGGCAGGCCUAACACAUGCAAGUCGAACGAGUGGCGGACGGGUGAGUAAUGUCUGGGAAACUGCCCGAUGGAGGGGGAUAACUACUGGAAACGGUAGCUAAUAACGCAUACCAUCGGAUGUGCCCAGAUGGGGUUAGCUUGUAGGUGAGGUAACGGCUCACCUAGGAGACGAUCCCUAGCUGGUCUGAGAGGAUGACCAGGCACACGGGAAUUGAGACACGGGCCAGAAGCUUAUGGGAGCGAUCAGUGUUGAAUAUGGCAAAAUGGGCGAAAGGCGAAUGGAGCUAUGCGGCGUGUAUGACGAAGGCGUUGGGGUUGUAAAGGACUGUCAGCGGGGAGGCGGUACCCUCAGAAGAAGCCCCGGCUAACUCCGGGCCAUCAGCCGCGGUAAUAC
rnacentral:rRNA from 1 species